AGAGUUUGAUCAUGGCUCAGAACGAACGCUGGCGGCAGGCCUAACACAUGCAAGUCGAACGGAUGUAGCAAUACAUUAGUGGCGCACGGGAGAGUAACGCGUGGGAACCUACCUUUUGGUUUGGGAUAACGUCGGGAAACUGACGCUAAUACCAGAUAAGCCCUCCGGGGGAAAGAUUUAUCGCCGAUAGAUGGGCCCGCGUUAGAUUAGCUAGUUGGUGAGGUAAUGGCUCACCAAGGCGACGAUCUAUAACUGGUCUGAGAGGAUGACCAGUCUCACUGGGACUGAGACACGGCCCAGACUCCUACGGGAGGCAGCAGUGGGGAAUAUUGGACAAUGGGGGCAACCCUGAUCCAGCCAUGCCGCGUGAACGAUGAAGGCCUUCGGGUUGUAAAGUUCUUUUGGUGGGGACGAUGAUGACGGUACCCACAGAAUAAGCACCGGCUAACUUCGUGCCAGCAGCCGCGGUAAUACGAAGGGUGCUAGCGUUGUUCGGAAUUACUGGGCGUAAAGGGCGCGUAGGCGGUUUAACAAGUUGGGUGUGAAAGCCCAGGGCUCAACCCUGGAACUGCACUCAAGACUGUUUUACUUGAAUUCGGUAGAGGUUGGUGGAAUUCCCAGUGUAGAGGUGAAAUUCGUAGAUAUUGGGAAGAAUAUCCGUGGCGAAGGCGGCCAACUGGACCGACAUUGACGCUGAGGCGCGAAAGCGUGGGGAUCAAACAGGAUUAGAUACCCUGGUAGUCCACGCUGUAAACGAUGCAUGCUAGACGUUGGAAACCUCA
rnacentral:rRNA from 1 species